rnacentral:rRNA from 1 species
CCACGCCGUAAACGAUGUCGAUUUGGAGGUUGUGCCCUUGAGGCGUGGCUUCCGGAGCUAACGCGUUAAAUCGACCGCCUGGGGAGUACGGCCGCAAGGUUAAAACUCAAAUGAAUUGACGGGGGCCCGCACAAGCGGUGGAGCAUGUGGUUUAAUUCGAUGCAACGCGAAGAACCUUACCUGGUCUUGACAUCCACAGAACUU